CUUGUCUGGAAAGUCACAUACUCAAGUAUUGUAUCAAUUGGCACUCACCUCAGAUCAAUAUUACCUGGAGUAUGUUGUUCUUUGAGUUGCCUCACACCAGUUACUCCCUCCGACCUCUACGGCCUGCUGCCACGCCACCGUCUGCAGAUCCUGCACAAAGUCCAUGGCGUCCUAUCUCUACGGCACGGGCUGCUGCCACACCACCAUCUGCAGCUCCUGCGCUUCAGAGUUGGAGCUGGAGGGGAAGAUGCAAAUAAUGGGAAAUCUGGAGUUGGCGAUCGACAAAUAGAAGCUAAGCCUGAUACGCUGACAGUUGAUACUGGUGCUGGGGUUCCAUUCCAUCAAAUAUUUUAGUCAGUUUUCAAGUUCUUUGUAUAUGACCAGAUAUACAGAAAGCAUGCUCAACAACAAGGUAGAGCUGCAAAUAUCUCUUCAAAGAAUAAUUAUGUCCUUACGAAGAAGUUAUCGACCAUUCGAGACUUUGAACCCACUCUCAG